UACAAUCCCGAGCUGCUAGUGAUCAGCCAUCUUGGAUCUCCUAAGCAGUGGAUUAAAUCUGUCCCCAGAAAACUCAGGAAUAGUCCCCCGUGGUUGUUCCCUCCCCUCUCAACAUGUCAGCCACAAGAGCGCAGGAUCACACCAGCAGGAGGCGAGCAAGGUCGGAUUGUCCAAGGCCUGCUGUGCUCCUUGGGGAUGUGACCAGAGCUCUGAAGCACAGGCUCCCCAAGUGUGCUCUUCCCUUGCCCCUCGAGUGUGGCAUCCUCCCUCAGCUUGUAUGUCUGGGCUUCAUGUUCUGAGGCAGGAAACUGGAUGUUGCUGAGGUACAGCUGCUCAGCUGGGACCACAGGAGGCAGAAGCAGAAGGUGAGA